AAGUAGACAUUUUUAAAGAGCAUUCGGCACGCCACGUAAGCAAAGGUAUGUUUUCGACCAAUUAAAAAUUAGAAUUCUAUUUUAUUUUGGAAUUAAAAAAUUCGUUUGCCACGUAAGAAAUAUCAUUAUUUUAACCAAUAAGAAUAAAGAUAUACUUAUUUCGACCAAUAAGAAAAUAAGAAGAAAGAUUUGAUAUAUAAUUAUUUCGGCCAAUAAGAAUAAAGAUUUGUAUUUAUUUUUGAAUUAAAAAUAUACUUUUUCCGACCAAUAAGAAAAUAAGAAGAAAGAUUUGAUAUAUCUAUAAAUUUUUAUCUUUUUUUUUUAAAUUAUUGUUAUCAAGAGAGUAUUAGUAGAAUUGAUAGUUUUUUUUUUUUUUUUUAAUGUAAGUAUAGUGCUUACAAAAGGUUGCACCACGGAAUAGAUCAGAAGCAAAAGCCCAUAAUUGUCAAGCAAGUCAGAACGAAAAUUCCAAGUUUAAUGGAACAAAGUGACUACAAACAAAAGAAAAACAUAAUUAGUCAGCACACAAAAAGGCCCAACAGAUUUAAUCUAUUCAAACUUUAAGCUGAGGAAAAGAUAAGCCUUAUCGAGGCAAUUUGCCAAAAGAUUGCAGCCUUCUAUAAUCCGUUGCACACUGUUUUUGGUUAAAGCCUCGAACGAAGACACUCAGCAGGUUUAUCUAUUUUAUCAGUCAAGCAAAAUAUUAUCAAUUGUUUCGAUACUUAAUAAAAUGAUAAAAUUUAAGUUGGGGAAAAGAUAUAAAUUGAUUUAAUUAGCUUAUGAUUUGUUAUUAUUAUAAAUAGGCAUUAAUUUAAUUCACGCACCAUCAAAGAAUCACACAAUACCUCAUACAAAACAAAUUGCAUAUUGAGGUUUAAGAAAAUGUCGGUGUAAUUCCUUAAACUCAUUUUUUUUUCAAAUUAUAAUUAUUGGUAAUAUUAUUUUUAACUAUUUUUUUCAAUGUAUUGUUUUCUUAGGUCUACUUCGUCGAUUCGAGAACUUAAUUCUUCCAAAAAUGAUUGGAAAAUUAAAGUACGCGUAUCAAGGCUUUUUGAUGUUUUGAACUUUCGAAAACAUAAUAGUUUGAUUAGUUUGGACAUGGUUUUAAUUGACGAAGAGGGUGAUUAUGUCCAUGCUUCAAUCAAAGGAAAAUUUGUCCAACAAUUUCGUUCAACACUAAUUGAAGGCAAAGUUUACACAAUUCGAUAUUUUUCUGUUGUACCUAACAAAAAUCAAUAUCGUGUUGUGAGCGAUAACAAGAUAAUGAUACAAUUUUUUCAAAAUACAUCUGUUAAGGGGGUUGCAGAUAAUAAUAAAAUUUCGUUGCAUAGAUUUGAUUUUAUUCAAUUGCAACAUUUAGAUCAAUUCCGUAGUAAUGUAACACUCCCUGGUAUAUAUUUUACAUAUUUUCAAUUUUUAUUGUUUAAAAAAUAUUAUAGUGUUAUCAUUCGUUUUACUAACUCUCUCUCUUUUUUUUUUUUUUUUUUUGUAUAUCACUUUGUCUUACAAGAUGUGGUUGGUAUGGUUGUAAACAAAAUUGGAGAUUCAAUUGAAAUAGAAGACAAAUGGUAAUUAUUAUUUUAAUAUAUUUGUAUAUAUUAUUAUUAUUAAUUACGAUAAACUAAAACUUAUAAUUGUAAGAUAAUUUAUAUUUGACUUAUUCUAGAUUUAUUAGUAAAUUAUUUGUAUCUUGAUAUCAUGGUUAGGGGACAACGAAUCCAAUUAAAGAUUUGGGAUAAGUAUAUUCUGAUUAUUUAAGACAAAAAGCCCUACUUGCUGAUUCCAGUAAGCCUUUUGGUAUAGUUGUUACUUCAACAAUGGUCAAAUAUUUUAAUG